UGUCCAGUAACUCUUAUCCCUACCUCCUCAUGGUGCCGCCUGGGAUACGAGUAACCGUAGGGAAGAUCGGGUAACCAACCCCGGUGGGACCUUGGCCGUAUGUUGACAGGGAAGG
rnacentral:ribozyme from 1 species